GUUUGAUGUUCUAACGUUGGCCCCUGAUCGGGGUUGCGGACAGUGUCUGGUGGGUAGUUUGACUGGGGCGGUCUCCUCCUAAAGAGUAACGGAGGAGCACGAAGGUUGGCUAAUCCUGGUCGGACAUCAGGAGGUUAGUGCAAUGGCAUAAGCCAGCUUGACUGCGAGCGUGACGGCGCGAGCAGGUGCGAAAGCAGGUCAUAGUGAUCCGGUGGUUCUGAAUGGAAGGGCCAUCGCUCAACGGAUAAAAGGUACUCCGGGGAUAACAGGCUGAUACCGCCCAAGAGUUCAUAUCGACGGCGGUGUUUGGCACCUCGAUGUCGGCUCAUCACAUCCUGGGGCUGAAGUAGGUCCCAAGGGUAUGGCUGUUCGCCAUUUAAAGUGGUACGCGAGCUGGGUUUAGAACGUCGUGAGACAGUUCGGUCCCUAUCUGCCGUGGGCGCUGGAGAACUGAGGGGGGCUGCUCCUAGUACGAGAGGACCGGAGUGGACGCAUCACUGGUGUUCGGGUUGUCAUGCCAAUGGCACUGCCCGGUAGCUAAAUGCGGAAGAGAUAAGUGCUGAAAGCAUCUAAGCACGAAACUUGCCCCGAGAUGAGUUCUCCCUGACUCCCUGAGAGUCCUGAAGGAACGUUGAAGACGACGACGUUGAUAGGCCGGGUGUGUAAGCGCAGCGAUGCGUUGAGCUAACCGGUACUAAUGAACCGUGAGG
rnacentral:rRNA from 1 species